UACAGAGGGGGCUAGCGUUGUUCGGAAUUACUGGGCGUAAAGGGCGCGUAGGCGGCCCUCUAAGUCGAACGUGAAAUCCCCGGGCUCAACCCUGGGAUGCCGGUGGAUACUGUCGGGCUCGAGUCCGGAAGAGGAGUGUGGAAUUCCUGGUGUAGCGGUGAAAUGCGCAGAUAUCAGGAGGAACACCAAUGGCGAAGGCAGCACUCUGGGACGUGACUGACGCUGAGACGCGAAAGCGUGGGGAGCAAACAGG
rnacentral:rRNA from 1 species